rnacentral:rRNA from 1 species
CGGGUGAGUAACACGUGGGCGACCUGCCCUCAGCUCUGGGAUAAGCCUGGGAAACUGGGUCUAAUACCGGAUAUGACCACAUGUCGCAUGGUGUGUGGUGGAAAGUUUUUUCGGCUGGGGAUGGGCCUGCGGCCUAUCAGCUUGUUGGUGGGGUGAUGGCUUACCAAGGCGACGACGGGUAGCCGGCCUGAGAGGGCGACCGGCCACACUGGGACUGAGACACGGCCCAG